rnacentral:rRNA from 1 species
AACGAACGCUGGCGGCAGGCUUAACACAUGCAAGUCGAGCGCCCCGCAAGGGGAGCGGCAGACGGGUGAGUAACGCGUGGGAACGUACCUUUUGGUUCGGAACAACUCCGGGAAACUGGAGCUAAUACCGGAUAAGCCCUAACGGGGAAAGAUUUAUCGCCGAAAGAUCGGCCCGCGUCUGAUUAGCUAGUUGGUGAGGUAACGGCUCACCAAGGCGACGAUCAGUAGCUGGUCUGAGAGGAUGAUCAGCCACACUGGGACUGAGACACGGCCCAGACUCCUACGGGAGGCAGCAGUGGGGAAUAUUGGACAAUGGGCGCAAGCCUGAUCCAGCCAUGCCGCGUGAGUGAUGAAGGCCUUAGGGUUGUAAAGCUCUUUUGUCCGGGAAGAUAAUGACUGUACCGGAAGAAUAAAUCCAGGCUAACUUCGU